GAGCAGGGAUGUUGAGGAGGGUGAAAUUGAAGACCAACGAGAAAGAGUAGCGAAGAGACGACAUGACGUAGAGAGUGAUAUUGAAGAUCGGAGAGGAAAAAGAUCCGAGAAGAGGAGACAUGAUGUGGACAGUGACCUUGAAGAUCAGAGAGAAAAAAGACCCGAGAAGAGGGGACAUGAUGUGGACAGUGACCUUGAUGAUCGGAGAGAAAUAAGAUCCGAGAAGAGAAGACAUGAUGUGGACAGUGACCUUGAUGAUCGGAGAGAAAUAAGAUCCGAGAAGAGAAGACAUGAAGUGGACAAUGACCUUGAAGAUCAGAGAGAUAAAAGAUCCGAGAAGAGAAGGGACGUUGAGAACAGUGAUUUCGAAGAUCUAAGGGACAAGAGAGUCGAGAGUACAAUGUCACGGAUGGAAGACAGUGAAGAUGGUGAUGAAAGGCAUCGUAGGAAGGAUCGG
rnacentral:lncRNA from 1 species